GGAUGUGAGGGCGAUCUGGCUGCGACAUCUGUCACCCCAUUGAUCGCCAGGGUUGAUUCAGCUGAUCUGGCCGGCUAGGCGGGUGUCCCCUUCCUCCCUCACUGCUCCAUGUGCGUCCCUCCCGAAGCUGCGUGCUCGGUGGAAGAGGACGGCCUUCCCCGAAUAGAGACGGACAGGUCUUCGGUCGAGGGUAUACGAGUAGCUGCGCUCCCCUGCUAGAACCUCCAAACAAGCUCUCAAAUUAGAAUUGAUUCCCUGAGCUUCAAAGCUUCACCACAAACCGUCUGAGUCAAGGAAUAAGCAUUCACUCCAGAU
rnacentral:snRNA from 1 species